UCCUUCCAGGUUUGAGAGGGGCGGGGAGUUGGAGCGAUGAGGUAAUUGGAGCUGUGACCGGUCGGUGCUUGCGCGCCUCCCCUGCUCCCGGCUCUCUGCACCUAGUUGGAGCGACCGAAUGACAGCGGGGUGCAACUCAGGCAAUCUGGGGGGCUCCCCCGCCCCAGAGGUGUCAGGCUUCAGCUCCGAGCCGGUGAAAUACUCAAGGAGGCGGGGAAGCUGGCUAAUUCUAAUCCCAACUGGCCCUGGGUCCCGGCGCUCGGAGAAGCGUCGGAAGGAGCUCGCUCCGAUCCCCGGCUGCACUUUCGCCCUCCAAACCGAGUCGCUUCGGCGAUCGGGAACCCAGACCCGGGGCCGCGGGGGCUGCCUCGGCGUGCAACUCGCCAAAGUUUUAAGGGUCCCCGUGAUGGCCCACGCGUCCUCACCUUUCCUGCUCGGGAGAGCCAGCGACCACCGGCCCUCCCUCCUGUCUGUUUCUGCACGUCCGGAAAUCUGCUGUGGGCUUUGAACUAUUCCGCUGUGGCCGUGGUAGACGACCCGCGGGCUCCUCUCGCGGCUAAUUCGGGAUCAUUAAUUUAAUCGGAAGUGAGGUAACCGUGUAGGAGAUAGAGAAAGUAAACGGAGCGUUAAAUAGCAGUUCUUGUGAAUCCACGCCGAAGAACUUCCUCUGGGUUUAAUUGCUAAGUGCGGUUCUCAGCUCCUUCGCCUCGCCCGCGUCCCCUCCGCCCGUCCGCCGCCGGGUGACUCCGCAUGGAGGGAUCCUCUCUGCACCUUGCCAACAGGUGUGGCACCUGGAGGGAGAGCGGGCGCAUCCCUACGAGGGCCGCUCAGAGGGCCGCUCACCGAGGCGCUGUCCUUGCGGCAGAUAAUUCUGCAAGACCAGUAGGUGUUGGGGCAGCGUUUGACUUGCUUCAGGUGCUUGGAACUGGGUCUAGAAAUCUGAUCCCUCCGUUUCUCCCUGGAAGACACCAGUGUUGACUGUAAGCUGUGUGUGUGUGAGAGAGACCUUUUCGCUGAGUUUACUUAUGACCUAACGGUUAGUCACCAAUUGAAGCAGGAUACAGAAUCACCGAGAAAAACGUGUCAGCUUUUAAACAACUCUAGAUUGUAGAGCCACCGCGCUUCAAAAAUAAAAAUAAGCACACUCGCGAAGAAGUGAUCCUUAGGUUUCAACCUGAGGUUGUGCGACAGUGACAUUGCUGGUCUCCGUACAGCCUCUAGUGGACAGUUAACAUCAGUUUCCUGCAAAGGCUGCUGGUGAUGUUUAUGUCCACAGACAUUAUCAAGGUGAAGGGUGAGAUUCAGAACGCAACCAGGUACGAUCUUUUACCCCACUUGGCAAAGCUGACUUCUAAGAAGAGCUGAGGUUUGUUGGCUCUUGAGGGAAACAACGACGUAUGCUUUGUGCUGCAGGUAUUAUUACUGCUGGCCUGUGAAUAAACACAGAGCUUCUGCUCUUCAUUUCGGUUUCAGACAGCUUUCAUAGAAAACUAAAUUCAUCUAAAAUAUUUUUAUAACAGAAAAUAUUGGUUGCCAUGUUUUUGGCUUAACUGAGAUGUUUUUAUUCCAACUCAUAAUCUGCAAACUGUCCAAUCCACCUCCACUCUAUUUUUAGACAUUUUACAUUUAGAAAAUUUUCAGGAAAAAAGCUAAUAUUGCAAUUAUUACAUGGGCACAAGAUGUUAAUUUAUAUUAUUUUAACAACCUGAGACAUAUUAAAACACAUAAUUCAGAUCAGAGUCAAUUAAUUUAAAUGGUCCCUGAAGGAAGCUAAAUAUGUAUAGUACCCAGACAGUAAAAACAGUUCAUAAGAAAUGUGCCGCUUACUUUCAUAGCCAUGGAGAUUAAACACUGACACUAAACUCUAUUUAACUAUUUCUGCCUACAAAGUUCAACAUAAGUACAAUGCUUAUGAAAGUUUCAUAACCUGUAGGACUGAAAUGUUUUGUUUUCAGAUGACAGAAUACUAAAUGUGCAGUCACAGAUCACAGGCACAUGUCUGUAAUCCCAGCCCCUUAGGAGCCUGAGGUAAGAAGAUAGAAAGUUCAAGGCCAGCCUGGACAACUUAACCAGACUCUAUCUCAGUCUUUUAAUAAAAUAAAAGGCCUGGGGAUGUAGCUCAGUGGUAGAGCACUUGCCUAGCAUGUAUGAGGUCCUGGUUCAGUCCCCAGAAUGAAUGGGGAUGGUUUCUCAUGCAAACAAAAACUUGAAGAAAAAUGAGUAGAUCUUUCAAGAAGCCAGUAAGUAAAUACAAAGUAAAAUACAAAUACAAAUUAUGAUACUCUAGCUGGGCAUGGUGGCACAUGCCUGUAGUCCCAGCACUUGGAGGCUGAGGCAGGAGGAUCGCCACAAGUUGGAGGCCAGCCUGGACUACAUAGUGAGACCCUGUUUAAAAAAAAAAUUGUGAUACUCCUACUCAUAAGUCUGAUCUUAUAUUCAUUCAUGUCACUCUUUAAAAUGAAAGGAAAUUGAGAAAUAACUGGGCCUUACUCCUAAUCUAUGUUGUAGAUUGCUUAACAUGGAAAUAAUUAUAGAAAUAAUUUUUAUCUCAUAUCUAUUUUGCUGUUUUGGUCAUACAUAUUUUUGAAGGUUUGACAUAAGGCCAGCAAGUAUGUAUUAAAUCAUAUGAUUUUAUAUCACACCCCAGCUUCUUUAAGUGUAGUCCCUAAAAUAGACAAAGCGGCACCACCAGAUGGGAGUUUUUUAGACUUUCAGAAUCCAGGUUUCCACCCUAGAUUUAUGGACUCAGAAUCUCCCUUUGAACCAGCCUUUUGGGUGAUCCUAAACACAUUAGGGUGUAAAGAAUGCUGGUCUAAAAACUUAAUUCGCCUAUUUAUUUCUUUUUUUAUUAAUUCUUCUUAAGUUUUCCAAUGAAUAGUUAUCACAUUAUAGUUGGAUGCCUGCAUCUUGGACUCAACCAACUGCAGAUCAAAAAUAUUUGAAACAUUUGUACUAAGCAUGCACAGAAUUUUUUUUCUUGUCAUUAUUCCUUGAACAAUACAGUAUGGCAACUAUUUACAUACUAUUUUAAGUCAUCUAGAGAUGCUUUAAACUAUACAGGAGGCUACGCAUAGGUUAUAUACAAAUACUAUGUCAUUUUAUGUAAGGUUCUUGAGCAUCCCAGGAUUUGGGGAUUCAAAAGAAAUCCUGGAACCAGUCGUCUUAUCCAGGAAAUGAGUAUGUGCUUUGGAGAAAUAGUACUGCGUUUCAGGAGAGGCCUGAUUCAUACACGGAUCGGAAUCAUGUUUACCAAAAAGAAACCACAAGGAUCAUGCUGGGGUUUUGAAGGUGAAUGUUUUCUUCAGGGCAGCAGGGGGAGCACAAGAGUCCUUAAUAAACCCAGUGUACAGGGCCUCCACAUCGCGACAGAUUUGACACUGUACUGUGUGUUUUCAUUGAAAGUAGACUGUUACAAAGCUUAACCGAAGCGAAGCAAAAUAAAACCAACGAGCAAACACAAACAGUCUACCAGGUUAUAACAUUAGGUAUUUGAACAGAUUAUGGCUUAAAUAAGAUACAAUAUACUUCUUUUGAGUUUUAGGCUUGAAUUCUUAAGCGAAAGUGAACCUCCAAAGCCAUGUUUUGUAAAAGAUCCCUUACUCCGGUUUUCUCUAGUCAAGAAUAAAGACAACACUAUACAGAAUAA
ensembl:lncRNA